UGACAGCGAUGACUGCAACGGAGUUGUUUUCUUUCUCAGUGGGGGCACAGAAAGGCAGACUUCCUCUCUUCUACUCAGGUGCUGUGUCUGCACAAAGGACUGAUGGUGUGACGGUUUGUGUAGACUCACCCCAGGGAGUGGCAGUGUUGGAAGGUGUGACCCUGUUGGAGUAGGUCCUAGCUGCCUGGAAGCCAGUGUUCUGCUAACAGCCUUCAGAUGAAGAUGUAGAGCUCUCAGCUCCUCCUGCACCACGCCUGCCUGGACGAUGCCACAUUCCUGCCUUGAUGAUAAUGGACUGAACCUCUGAACCUGUAAACCAGACCCAAUUAAAAGUUGUCCUUAUAAGAGUCGUCUUGGUCAUGGUGUCUGCCUAUAGCAGUAAAAUCCUAAGAGAGACGGUAUCUAAAAAGUACUCAGUUUAUUAACCAUUUCCCACCAGGUGCUUGGCAAGGUCCUCGGCUA
rnacentral:lncRNA from 1 species